GACGAACGCUGGCGGCGUGCUUAACACAUGCAAGUCGAACGAUGAAGCCUAGCUUGCUAGGUGGAUUAGUGGCGAACGGGUGAGUAAUACGUGAGUAACCUACCUUUAACUCUGGGAUAAGCCUGGGAAACUGGGUCUAAUACCGGAUACGACCAAUCUCCGCAUGGGGUGUUGGUGGAAAGCGUUAUGUAGUGGUUAUAGAUGGGCUCACGGCCUAUCAGCUUGUUGGUGAGGUAACGGCUCACCAAGGCGACGACGGGUAGCCGGCCUGAGAGGGUGACCGGCCACACUGGGACUGAGACACGGCCCAGACUCCUACGGGAGGCAGCAGUGGGGAAUAUUGCACAAUGGGCGCAAGCCUGAUGCAGCGACGCCGCGUGAGGGAUGACGGCCUUCGGGUUGUAAACCUCUGUUAGCAGGGAAGAAGAGAAAUUGACGGUACCUGCAGAGAAAGCGCCGGCUAACUACGUGCCAGCAGCCGCGGUAAUACGUAGGGCGCGAGCGUUGUCCGGAAUUAUUGGGCGUAAAGAGCUUGUAGGCGGUUUGUCGCGUCUGCUGUGAAGGCCGGGGCUUAACCCCGUGUAUUGCAGUGGGUACGGGCAGACUAGAGUGCAGUAGGGGAGACUGGAAUUCCUGGUGUAGCGGUGGAAUGCGCAGAUAUCAGGAGGAACACCGAUGGCGAAGGCAGGUCUCUGGGCUGUAACUGACGCUGAGAAGCGAAAGCAUGGGGAGCGAACAGGAUUAGAUACCCUGGUAGUCCAUGCCGUAAACGUUGGGCACUGGGUGUGGGGGACAUUCCACGUUUUCCGCGCCGUAGCUAACGCAUUAAGUGCCCCGCCUGGGGAGUACGGCCGCAAGGCUAAAACUCAAAGAAAUUGACGGGGGCCCGCACAAGCGGCGGAGCAUGCGGAUUAAUUCGAUGCAACGCGAAGAACCUUACCAAGGCUUGACAUAUACUGGACCGCAUCAGAGAUGGUGUUUCCCUUCGGGGCUGGUAUACAGGUGGUGCAUGGUUGUCGUCAGCUCGUGUCGUGAGAUGUUGGGUUAAGUCCCGCAACGAGCGCAACCCUCGUUCUAUGUUGCCAGCACGUUAUGGUGGGGACUCAUAGGAGACUGCCGGGGUCAACUCGGAGGAAGGUGGGGAUGACGUCAAAUCAUCAUGCCCCUUAUGUCUUGNGCUUCACGCAUGCUACAAUGGCCGGUACAGAGGGUUGCGAUACUGUGAGGUGGAGCUAAUCCCUAAAAGCCGGUCUCAGUUCGGAUUGGGGUCUGCAACUCGACCCCAUGAAGUCGGAGUCGCUAGUAAUCGCAGAUCAGCAACGCUGCGGUGAAUACGUUUCCGGG
rnacentral:rRNA from 1 species